rnacentral:rRNA from 1 species
UACGGAGGGUGCAAGCGUUAUCCGGAUUCACUGGGUUUAAAGGGUGCGUAGGUGGGCAGGUAAGUCAGUGGUGAAAUCCCCGAGCUUAACUUGGGAACUGCCAUUGAUACUAUUUGUCUUGAAUACUGUGGAGGUUAGCGGAAUAUGUCAUGUAGCGGUGAAAUGCUUAGAUAUGACAUAGAACACCAAUUGCGAAGGCAGCUGGCUACACAACUAUUGACGCUGAGGCACGAAAGCGUGGGGAUCAAACAGG